UACGGAGGGGGCUAGCGUUGUUCGGAAUUACUGGGCGUAAAGCGCACGUAGGCGGCUUUGUAAGUUAGAGGUGAAAGCCCGGGGCUCAACUCCGGAAUUGCCUUUAAGACUGCAUCGCUAGAAUUGUGGAGAGGUAAGUGGAAUUCCGAGUGUAGAGGUGAAAUGCGCAGAUAUCAGGAGGAACACCGGUGGCGAAGGCGGGACUCUGGGCCGAUACUGACGCUGAGGAGCGAAAGCGUGGGGAGCAAACAGG
rnacentral:rRNA from 1 species